rnacentral:rRNA from 1 species
UACGUAGGGGGCAAGCGUUGUCCGGAUUUAUUGGGCGUAAAGAGCGUGUAGGCGGCUUUACAGGUCCGCUGUGAAAUCUCGAGGCUCAACUUCGAGCUGUCGGUGGAAACUGUCUGGCUAGAGUCCGGAAGAGGAGAAUGGAAUUCCUGGUGUAGCGGUGAAAUGCGCAGAUAUCAGGAAGAACACCCGUGGCGAAGGCGGUUCUCUGGGACGGUACUGACGCUGAGACGCGAAAGCGUGGGGAGCGAACAGG